UACGGGGGGAGCAAGCGUUGUUCGGAUUUACUGGGCGUAAAGGGCGGGUAGGCGGCCACCGCAAGUCAGUUGUGAAAUCUCUGGGCUUAACCCAGAAAGGUCAACUGAUACUGCGGGGCUAGAGUGCGGAAGGGGCAACUGGAAUUCUCGGUGUAGCGGUGAAAUGCGUAGAUAUCGAGAGGAACACCUGCGGCGAAGGCGAGUUCCUGGACAAGUCCUGACACUGAGGCACGAAAGCCGGGGGAGCAAACAGG
rnacentral:rRNA from 1 species